rnacentral:rRNA from 1 species
AGCAGCCGCGGUAAUUCCAGCUCCAAUAGCGUAUAUUAAAGUUGUUGCAGUUAAAAAGCUCGUAGUUGAACUUCGGGGUUCACCCAUUGGUCAGGCUUAAUUGUCUGUACUGGUGAGAUGAGUCUCUACCUUCUGAGGAACUUUCAUGCCAUUUAUUUGGUGUGAUUGGAAAUCAGGACUGUUACUUUGAAAAAUUAGAGUGUUUAAAGCAGGCUAACGUCUGAAUACAUUAGCAUGGAAUAAUGAAAUAGGACGGAUUGAUUCUAUUUCGUUGGUUUCUAGGGUCACCGUAAUGAUUAAUAGGGAUAGUUGGGGGCAUUAGUAUUCAAUUGUCAGAGGUGAAAUUCUUGGAUUUAUUGAAGACUAACUACUGCGGAAGCAUUUGCCAAGGAUGUUUUCAUUAAUCAAGAACGAAAGUUAGGGGAUCGAAGACGAUCAGAUACCGUCGUAGUCUUAACCAUAAACUAUCGCCGACUAGGGAUCGGACGUAAGUUAAUUAAUAAUGACGCG